rnacentral:rRNA from 1 species
GACGAACGCUGGCGGCGUGCUUAACACAUGCAAGUCGAACGGAAAGGCCCUGCUUGCAGGUUACUCGAGUGGCGAACGGGUGAGUAACACGUGGGUGAUCUGCCCUGCACUUCGGGAUAAGCCUGGGAAACUGGGUCUAAUACCGGAUAGGAGCCAUUUUUAGUGUGAUGGUUGGAAAGUUUUUUCGGUGUAGGAUGAGCUCUCUGCCUAUCAGCUUGUUGGUGGGGUAAUGGACUACCAAGGCGGCGACGGGUAGCCGGCCUGAGAGGGUGGACGGCCACAUUGGGACUGAGAGACGGCCCAGACUCCGACGGGAGGCAGAAGGGGGGAAUAUUGCACAAUGGGCGCAAGCCUGAUGCAGAGACGCCGCGUGGGGGAUGACGGCCUUCGGGUUGUAAACUCCUUUCGCUAGGGACGAAGCUUUUUGUGACGGUACCUAGAUAAGAAGCACCGGCUAACUACGUG